GCAGUCUGCAACCCGGCUGCAUGAAGCUGGAAUCGCUAGUAAUCGCGGAUCAGAACGCCGCGGUGAAUACGUUCCCGGGUCUUGUACACACCGCCCGUCACACCAUGGGAGCCGGGAAUGCCCGAAGUCGGUGACCUAACCGAAAGGAAGGAGCCGCCGAAGGCAGGUCUGGUAACUGGGGUNAAGUCGUAACAAGGUAUC
rnacentral:rRNA from 1 species